GCCUGUACUGCGUCUGUUGUGCUUCUUGUUUCUGAUAAGAAGCCGCAUUGUUAGGGACCGUGUUUACUGAUGGUGGGUCAGUGUGGACAGUUUACAGUGCUGGGUGUUGACAGAAUCGGGUGUUUCACUGAGGACUCUGGGCGAGGAAGCAUGAUUUAUUCAGGUCACGGAGGUGGCGUGCAGCAGCCGGAUUGGAACCCAAGGCCUUGGCCACCUUGCAGCUCCUGGCAUGGUGUUGGCUGGCCCCGGACCUCCCAGCGGGACACACGCAGAAGCAUGUGGGAGAAAACGUGUGAUUUUAUGUAAUAUUCACGUAACCACCACCAAAACGUUUGGUAUGCCCAUUAGCAUGUAGUGCUUCCAAAAUUAAAACAUUUGUUUUUUUGAAACUAAA